CUACCGAUGCCACUAAGUCCCA
rnacentral:miRNA from 1 species